UUGAUCCUGGCUCAGAAUCAACGCUGGCGGCGUGCCUAACACAUGCAAGUCGAACGAGAAAGUGGAGCAAUCCAUGAGUACAGUGGCGACCGGGUGAGUUACACGUGACUAACCUACCUUCGAGUGGGGGAUAACCUCGGGAAACCGAGUCUAAUACCGCAUAACAUCGAGGGAUCAAAGGAGCAAUUCGCUUGAAGAGUGGGUCGCGGCUGAUUAGCUAGUUGGCGGGGUAAUGGCCCACCAAGGCGAUGAUCGGUAGCCGGCCUGAGAGGGCGCACGGCCACACUGGAACUGAAACAUGGUCCAGACUCCUACGGGAGGCAGCAGUGGGGAAUUUUGCGCAAUGGGGUAAACCCUGACGCAGCAACGCCGCGUGGAGGAUGAAGCCCCUUGGGGUGUUAACUCCUUUCGACCAAGACGAUAAUGACGGUACUGGUGGAAGAAGCACCUGCUAACUCUGUGCCAGCAGCCGCGGUAAUU
rnacentral:rRNA from 1 species